rnacentral:rRNA from 1 species
AGCAGCCGCCGCGGUAAUACGAAGGGGGCUAGCGUUGUUCGGAAUUACUGGGCGUAAAGCGCGCGUAGGCGGACAUUUAAGUCAGGGGUGAAAUCCCGGGGCUCAACCCCGGAACUGCCUCUGAUACUGGGUGUCUAGAGUUCGGAAGAGGUAAGUGGAAUUGCGAGUGUAGAGGUGAAAUCCGUAGAUAUACGCAGGAACACCAGUGGCGAAGGCGACUUACUGGUCCGAUACUGACGCUGAGGUGCGAAAGCGUGGGGAGCAAACAGGAUUAGAUACCCCUGUAGUCCCUGUCUCUUAUAA